rnacentral:rRNA from 1 species
AUUGAACGCUGGCGGCGUGCUUAACACAUGCAAGUCGAGCGGCAGCGCGGGAGCAAUCCUGGCGGCGAGCGGCGAACGGGUGAGUAAUGCUUCGGAAUCUACCCAUCAAUGGGGAAUAACCAGUCGAAGACUGGCUAAUACCGCAUACGACCUACGGGUGAAAGCGGGGGCUCGCAAGACCUCGCGUUGAUGGAUGAGCCGAAGUCGGAUUAGCUAGUUGGUAGGGUAACGGCCUACCAAGGCGACGAUCCGUAGCUGGUCUGAGAGGACGACCAGCCACACUGGGACUGAGACACGGCCCAGACACCUACGGGUGGCAG